rnacentral:SRP_RNA from 1 species
GCCGGGUGCGGUGGCGUGUGCCUGUAAUCCAAGUUACUUGGAGGCUGAGACUGGUGGAUCGUUUGAGCUCAGGAUCUCUGAGCUACAGUGACUAUGUCGAUCGGUUGUCCCAUAAGUUCGGUAUCGAUAUGGUGCUCCUGGGGGAGGCCGGGACCACCAGGUCGUCUAAGGAGGGGUGCACCGGCCCAGGUCGGAAACGGAGCAGGCCAAAGCCCCCGUGCUGCUCAGUAGUGGGAUCGCGCCUGUGAAUAGAGGCUGUAGUGAAGCCUGAGUAAUACAGCGGGACCCAGUCUUUU